rnacentral:miRNA from 1 species
UCGCCGAGAGGGACAUUGAU